AAAUUGAAGAGUUUGAUCAUGGCUCAGAUUGAACGCUGGCGGCAGGCCUAACACAUGCAAGUCGAACGGUAACAGGAAGCAGCUUGCUGCUUCGCUGACGAGUGGCGGACGGGUGAGUAAUGUCUGGGAAACUGCCUGAUGGAGGGGGAUAACUACUGGAAACGGUGGCUAAUACCGCAUAACGUCGCAAGACCAAAGAGGGGGACCUUCGGGCCUCUUGCCAUCAGAUGUGCCCAGAUGGGAUUAGCUUGUUGGUGAGGUAACGGCUCACCAAGGCGACGAUCCCUAGCUGGUCUGAGAGGAUGACCAGCCACACUGGAACUGAGACACGGUCCAGACUCCUACGGGAGGCAGCAGUGGGGAAUAUUGCACAAUGGGCGCAAGCCUGAUGCAGCCAUGCCGCGUGUAUGAAGAAGGCCUUCGGGUUGUAAAGUACUUUCAGCGGGGAGGAAGGUGUUGUGG
rnacentral:rRNA from 1 species